GCGCGUUCGGUGGCCUGUUAUUGGAAUUGGCUAAUUUCGAACGGAAAAUAGCCCAUGUUUAACCCAAGAUAACUUUAUAACUAAAGGCUAUUUUGAUUUAAUUUUUUCGUGUGUUUGUUAAAGAAGGAUAGAUCUAAAACACAAGGCAAUUUUAAAAGUCCAACAAGCUCAAACAAGAAUUUAAUUUGCAAUGGAAUAAGUUGAAUUUUGAGUAUCGCGACGCCAUCGAAAUCAUGCGGCACCGGCGUGCGACGAUGACAUGUCGUGUUCAAACGUAAAUCCGGAGUGAUCUCUGGGGUCAUAUGGGACAAUAUUGGUAUCAAAAGAAAGAGGAGAACCUCAGCUAUCCACCAAUGUCCUAUUCUUUCGAGUUUUUGACUUGGAAAGAUUAUUUCAUGCGAAAAACAAGACUUUUUUGUGUUUUUAAACAUUUUCUGGUGCGAAAUGUCAGAAGAAUCAGAAAUCCGAACGAAUUUCGCCACGCCAUUGAGCACUGUGAAAGAAGCAUUAUGUGAAAAUUGUCGCAACUUUAACGACGACGAUUUGCGUUUGCUUAUUUGGAAAUGGGGCGAAGCCUGGCUGGAAAGUAUUCAUCCCUAUCAUACUGUAUAACAUGGUCAUGGAUUGAAAGUGUUAAUGGCUUCAAUUUUAUGGAUCCUUAGGCUUAGCCUGAAUCAGUAAAUGAGUCACAAGAACAGUAUGUAGGAAAAUGUA